GAUGAAGAACGUAGCGAAAUGCGAUACGUAAUGUGAAUUGCAGAAUUCAGUGAAUCAUCGAGUCUUUGAACGCACAUUGCGCCCUCUGGUAUUCCGGAGGGCAUGCCUGUCCGAGCGUCAUUGCUGCCCUCAAGCACGGCUUGUGUGUUGGGCCCCGUCCUCCUUCCGGGGGACGGGUCCGAAAGGCAGCGGCGGCACCGCGUCCGGUCCUCAAGCGUAUGGGGCUUUGUCACUCGCUUUGUAGGCCUGGCCGGCGCUUGCCGAUCAACCAAACUUUUUAUCAGGUUGACCUCGGAUAAGGUAGGGAUACCCGCUGAACUUAAGCAUAUCAAUAAGCGGAGGA
rnacentral:misc_RNA from 1 species